rnacentral:tRNA from 1 species
GGGCGCAUAGCUCAGUUGGUUAGNNGAGGUCGAUGGUUCGAGUCCAUUUGCGCCCA